rnacentral:rRNA from 1 species
CUAAACGGCCCGCCGCUCCAGGAUGAGGCUGCGGCCAAUUAGGUUGACGGGGGGGUAACGCCCCACCGGGCCAAUAAUCGGUACGGGUGGUAAAACAACAACCCCGAAAACGGAUUCUAAAACAAAAUUCCGGCCCCUACGGGGGGCAGCAGGGACAAAACUUUUCCACUGCACGCACGUGCAAUAAGGGAACUCCAAGGGGGAGGGAUUAUCUCCCUCUUUUUUGUCAACCGUAAGGUGGCCAACAAAUAAGGGUUGGGAAAAACCGGGGCCAGCCGCCGCGUUAUUACCGGCACCCCAAGUGAUGGCCAAUUUUAUUGGGCCUAAAGCGUCCGUAGCCGGCCUGGCAGGUCCGUCGGAAAAUCCAGCCCUUCAACGGUUGGACAACCGGAGAACCCCGCCAGGUUGGGAACCGAAAAAUUCGAGGGGUACGUCCGGGGAAGAAUUAAAAUCCCGUAUUCCUGGACGGACCGCCAAUGGAAAAACCUCUUCAGAAGGACGCCUCCAACGAGGAGGAACAAAAGCUGGGUCCUCAAACAGAAUAAAAUCCCCGGUUAGCCCCAGCCGUAAACGAUGUUCGUUAGUGCCGCCACCGGUAACAAGCCGGGGUGGUGCCGAAGGGAAGCCGUUAAACAAACCGCCUGGAAAGUACGUCCGCAAGAAUAAAACUAAAAUGAAUUG